UUGGCCUAGAGCCAGGGCACGGCUGGAGCUGACGGGUGAUCCGGCUUCUCAGCCGCGCUCCCCGCGGCGCUCAUUCAGCGGUGCCCCCAACGGAUGCUUUAAGCAAGGCUUUCGUGGGGACGUGCUCGUCAUCCCUGCCCAGGCCGAGUUGGGGUGCCCGGAGGCCUUUAACACAGGGAAACAAAAGCGCCUUCGGUGCGAAGUACCAGCUGUGUAGCGGUUUUGAGGCACUAAAUACCGCUGAUCUCUGUCUAAACUCUCGUCUAAGCCCUGCUUAGGAAGCUUAGGAGCUGUUUGUGAGGAUGGUGAGGUAAAGCCCCGAGCUUCGCUAAUGCCCUGACAUGGAGCAUAUGCAGGCCUGCUGGGCUGCGCGUCAGGGGUGACACGGUGACACCAGGCCUGUCCUGYGAGCCAGAGCACUGCUGCUGCUCUGCCCCAGAUAAAAUGUGCUGUGGGUGCUACUAAGAGAUUCUGGAGUGAGUACAAGCAGAUGAGCAUAAACAGGGAAUUAGUAAUUUGCAGCACAGAGACUUUAUAUGUUGCCCAGCAAAACUAGGCAGGUAGGAAUCGCAGCAUAUCAUAGAAUAUACUGAGCUGGAAGGGACCCAUCAGGAUCUUCGAGUCCAACCCUCGGCCCUGCACAGGACACCCCAAGAAUCACACCAUGUGCCUGGGAGCGUUGUCCAAACUGAAUUGAAUGCAAGUCCCUUCUCAAAAUCAUGURUAUAUUGCUGACAAUUUGUAGCUUCUGGUCUCAGUGAGAAACAACAUGUCUCGGUUCAUGCUGGUUUACUGCCAGGGCAGCACCUGUAAGUGUGUGGAAAGAAAAGAAUGAGUUGGCCCACUAUCUGUUUGUUAUCUGAACCCUGAAUUUAAAUUACUGGCAACAGAAAUAACACAAUCUGAUUCAGUCUGAAACAAAUAGCCACAUAGUUGCAAUCAGGAGACGACUCUAAAAAUUGUUUCAUAGCACUUCGUAGUUACCUCUCCUGUCUAAUUCUUGAUACUUAAAACGUUGUUGCAGAUUAACCAUGUGCUGGCUAAGUUAAUUGUCUGUACAUCAAGAUUCCAAACCUGUCUCAGGACUCUAUGUAAAUUAGUCUCUGGAGAUAAAUUUGUGAGACGUGUAGUUUUAAGUUAUUUCAAAUGGGCUCGUCUGCAAUGACUACUUUCUACAGUCAAACACCUGAGUCAGAUCGGUCCUUUUUUGUAAUGUAGUCAAAAUGAUGAAGUGGCAUCCAACCUUAAAAUUUUUACCACUUGUGCCAGUGGGAUUUAUGUCAAGUUUGGUUUCUUCUUCUCCMUUACAGAAUGUAAACUGGUGCUUCUGUUACACAGAAAACCAGCAAACCACAGCAAACCAGUUGUCAGUAUCCAUCCCAGGUUGUUUCUCCCAAUUUCCUGGAAAAGUGCUGUAACCACUGAAUUGUUACCUAGAAGGCUGCAGGCAGAUCUGCUGUUUCCAUGUUUCUGGGAGAAUCCCGACAAGUCAAACUGUCACCAAAAUAUGAAGUUUUACAGUAUUUUCAAUCAAGAGGAAUAAUUUCUCAGGUAAUCUGAAAAUGUUGGGUAGKGGUUGCUUUGAUGAUGACAGUCUUAAAGAAAAAUAGUAAUUUCAAACUUGUUUUACUGGUUGUAGACUCUCCACAUUUUCUUUGGAUUUCCAUGAAUUUUUCAUGGACUAUAACUCGCUCUUACCAUUAGAAUUUCAGGUGCAGAUGGCGUGGUUUCCAUAGACCUGCUAUGAGCCAUGUGCSACAGAUUCAAUCCAUAGACUUUAAGUUGGCAUUUGGCAUUGUACUAAAGCCACCAGUCUGUUCUGCAGUGAGGGCCAAGCCUCACUGAAAAUCCCAAUUUCUCAUUCUCAUGUCAACACAUUUGCCACUUUGUUGAAGAUAUUUUGCUAUUUUUGGUAGAAUAUAAUUGGAGAUACAAAACAUAUUUUAAAAAGUUUGUAAAAUUCUAAACCUACAUUGUCAGCACUGAAAGUAUUUCAGAUAUCUGAACUCUCCUUUAAUUCUCCUCAUAUAUUUUUCAUGCUUCCAGAAAACCUGAGUACUGUUUUAACUGCCUUUUCCAUUAAAAUGACCUUUUAAUUUGUUGGAAGUACAUCCUAAAUUUGAUCUGUUCCAAACACUUGUUCAGCAAAACUCACUGAUGUCUCUCCAUUAGUGGACCCAAGUUCAUUACAAGAAAAACAUAAAUGAACUCUCUGUGGAAUUUUCCAAGAUUUCUGGAGAGGAAAUGCAAUAUCCUCUUUGCAGCACAGAAUGAGUAGAUUUCCAGUCUCAGAUUUGCUACCAACUUUCCUGURUAACUUUGGACAACUCACUAAAGUUCUGCUGCCUAUUAUCUUGCUUUGUAAAAGAAGCUAAUAUUACCUUGCCACACAAUAAUUUGACAAGUUUGAGUGACUACUUGCAAAGUACUCUGAAAAAGUCACAUGGAAACUGUUACUGAAGUCCACAGCUCUGCUAGCCAAAAAGGAUAUUUACAAUAGAUCCAUGUUUCAGGUAGUGAAAUCAAAAUGUUCAAGUAUWUAGCCAGAUGAGACCAAGUCAGUUCUAAAAUUAAAUGCAGGAGGUAUUUUUUGACCUUUAAACAGAAAUUAUAUAAGCACUCUUAGGUUAUAAAUAGUCCUUUGUUUUCCUUCUCUUUGUCUAACACUCAGAAAAAACACAGGGUUAGUUGUUUGUUGUAAAGAGAUAGGGCAAUGCUUUAGAGUGGAAACAAUUGUGCACUGUUCUUUAUUUAUACAAUUCCUAUAAAGUUUGUAACUGGCAUUUGUUGCAUUGCUUAGCACAUUUUUAUGUUCAAAUGGCUACAGAAAUAAAGUUUCUAUUCCGGAAAAUGACAACAGAAGAAGAAAAUAAAAACAUAUAUCAGUCCAUGUCAAGCAUGAAAGUUUCUUUCCUCUUUCCUAUUUUGAUAUGUCUGAAGAGGAGAAAAGCCAGUGCUAGACUGUUGUCAAACUGACAUGUAAACACUUUAAUAUUAUUCCCUAUUUUUAUUAUUAAUCUUCAGAAGUAUAUCAUAAAUGGGUCCACCUUUAAAUGAAAGUAUUCAU